GUUAGAUGUUUGAGAGGGCUUGAUUCUAGUACGAGAGGACCGAAUUGAACAAACCUCUGGUGUAUCAGUUGUACCGCCAGGUGCACCGCUGAGUAGCUAUGUUUGGAAAGGAUAAGCACUGAAAGCAUAUAAGUGCGAAACCUGCCUCAAGAUGAGACAUCUUUUAAGGGUCGUGGGAGAUGACCACGUGGAUAGGCUACAGGUGUAAAGCUGGUAACAGCAUAGCCGAGUAGUACUAAUUACCCGUAGAUUUAUAGCCU
rnacentral:rRNA from 1 species